rnacentral:rRNA from 1 species
UACGUAGGGGGCAAGCGUUGUCCGGAAUUACUGGGCGUAAAGGGCUCGUAGGCGGCCAACUAAGUCAGACGUGAAAUCCCUCGGCUUAACCGGGGAACUGCGUCUGAUACUGGAUGGCUUGAGAUUGGGAGAGGGAUGCGGAAUUCCAGGUGUAGCGGUGAAAUGCGCAGAUAUCGGGAGGAACACCGGUGGCGAAGGCGGUUCUCUGGGCCUUACCUGACGCUGAGGAGCGAAAGCGUGGGGAGCGAACAGG